rnacentral:lncRNA from 10 species
ACUGCACUGCGUCCGCCCUCUUUGUUUCUGUCUCAGUCUCUCUGUCUCCCUUCGUUCUCUUUCUCUCCCCCUGCUACCCCCCCCCACAGUUACACACACACACACACACACACACACACACACACACACACACACGCAGUGUGAAAGAUGCGAGCCAUAGCAUCUCGUAACAUGAAGGCCAUCCAGCUCCAUCCUCCCACUGCUGCUUGAACAAUAUGCUUAACACGUAGUGCCGCAGUCGCUGCUUGGGUAAGUCCUUUGACAGGGCACUCCCUCCUUCCCUUUUCCCUCCCCGCAGAAUCAGCUUAGUAUGUUUUUAGAACAAACACAUUGGUAUAAAAAAACAAAUGAGGGAGACUGAUUCUGAGAGGGGUCAGGGAAAGCUACAAAGGUAGCGAUAUUUAAGCUGAGCUAUAUUAAUAAAUUCAGGUUUUCCAGGCAGAUGAGAGGAGGAGGACCUUUUAGACAGAGGAAACAGCAUUUACAAAGUCAUAGAGUAAUGAAAGUCCAAAAAUGUUCCAGGAGCAGCUAGUGUGGCUUGAAGAGUGUUUGUGAAGAAGAGAGGCUAAGAAUGAGACUGGGAGUAUGAGGCCAUGGUGUGAAGGCUCUUAUAUGUCCUAGCAUGGCAUGGGGACAUAAUCAUGUAAAGCAGAUUAUGAAGAGCCAUCAAAGGUUUGGGGGAAAUGGAGUGACAUCAGGGAUAUGUUUUUGUGAAAUAACUGGCAGGAUUUUGGAAAGGAAGAUGGCCUUGAAGUAGGAAGAUCAAUUAGGAGAUUGAAUGUGUUCAUGCACAGAUUUUAUCAUCUUGUUACUCAAACGACUGAUGGCUUCUGACCCUGCCUGAAAAUUUCCUAAGAGGUAACAGUUCUAGGACACAGAUGCUGGAGGGAGUGGAGGAAGAAGUUUAAUUACCACAUACAGCUCUUCCAUAUGCAAGGUCUCUGGGGCAAAACUGUCAUUCUGUCUGAAGCCAGACCCUCAAUGUCAGACUAAGAGAGUCGGAUGGAGACUACAUCUUCUGUGUGUGUUGCAAUGGGAGGACUUCUCUCCACCGAGUUUAGUGAGGGAAGGAUCCAAAUCAUAGGUUAAAGGGAAUUCUG